rnacentral:rRNA from 1 species
ACACGUCUCCAUUAGAUACCCGUGUAGUCCCAGCCGUAAACUAUGCGCGUUAGGUGUAUCGGUGACCACGAGUCACCGAGGUGCCGAAGGGAAACCGUGAAACGUGCCGCCUGGGAAGUACGGUCGCAAGGCUGAAACUUAAAGGAAUUGGCGGGGAGCACCACAACGGGUGGAGCCUGCGGUUUAAUUGGACUCAACGCCGGGAAGCUCACCGGAUAAGACAGCGGAAUGAUUGCCGGGCUGAAGACUCUGCAUGACUAGCUG